rnacentral:rRNA from 6 species
UCACACCCGUUCCCAUACCGAACACGGAAGUUAAGCUCUCUAGCGCCGAUGGUAGUUGGGACCUUGUCCCUGUGAGAGUAGGACGUCGCCAAGC